AAGUGAAAUAAAAUAUACUUAUAUGAUUUUAAGAAAGAUAUGAUUGAUUCGUCUUUUGGGGAAUUGAACUAGGGAAAAAACCUUAAAAUUAACUAGCAAAUAAACAAUUAAGCGAAUACGAAAACAGAUAAAAUAGGGAGAGAGAGUUUAGGCCUUUGACCCAUUUGCACCUGUCUUAAGAUCUAACAAGAUAAUAACAAGUAAAAUGACAAGGGCUUAGUCCCAAAAUAACAAAAUACAAUUUAUUUAAAAAUGACAAGGGCUUAGUCCCAAAAUAACAAAAUACAAUCCUAAAGUAAAGGGGACCAUUUUCCCACUUUUCGUAUACACUAGAUGUAUACUAGUGUAUACAAUCCCAUAUGUCUGCUCCGAAGACCUGUACGCCGAAUUCAUGGAAUUGCUCUUCAAUUCUAUUGGAUGGCCGACUCAAUAAAAGACUUGAGCAUUAACGAAUCUCUCGAAAUGCGGGGAAAAAGGAGUUCAUGAUGAACUCGGGCAAAUUUCGCAUGCAACAAAGAAAAAUAAGAAAUACAUUAGUAAAAUUCUCUCCAAAGAUGGUUAACAUCAAUUUAAAACACAUAACCCAAAUAAUGAUUUAACAUAAUGACACAUGUAAAUAUUAUAUGAGUUAUGCUCACAUUUUUUCCAAUCCCAACAAAGCUUUGGCAAACAUUUAAUAACUUAGAUAAAUGUCUUCAAGAGGGUCAACAAUUUAACUAAGUCAUGGCAAAAGUUAAGGACCAAAGCCACAUUAAUCAGAACAUCUCAAGUGAAAAAAGAAAAUGAUGCAGUUCAAAUUACUAUGCAUAUGAAACACUCAAACUCGUUCCUUACUAAAUAGAGGCAACAAUUGCAAUUACUUAAGAGAAAACUACUAUCAUUUACAACUACUCUACGGCAUAACAAGGAAACAAGAUAACC
rnacentral:lncRNA from 1 species